GGACUCUGAGAUGGGAGAACUGCAGACGACCGGAACGCACAGAGUGUGUGUCCAUUCUGGGUUCCCUAUCUCCUCUGCAUAACAUGAAAUAAGUCACUGACUCCAGUCCUGGCGCAGUGGAGGAGGAGAUGACAUGGAUAGAAGGGGAUCAACCGGCCUGGAGAUGUAUGGAGUCAGUCUGUGUAGGACGGCUCGUUUCCAGUCGCAAUGUGGUUGCCCAGGACGAGAGGCUGCUGAGGGGUUCACCAGUGCACGCAGCAGGGCCAUCGGAGCUUCAUCUCGGGAGCACGAGCCAGCUGUGCUUUCUACAAGAACUACGCAUGAUCAAAACACAGGACCACCAGCCCGUACGUGGUGGCACCACCCAAGAUGGACCGGGCCCUCCCCAACCAAUCACUAAUUAAGAAAAUACCUUACAGGCUUGCCUAUUAGUCUAAUCUUACGGAGGCAUUUUCUUAAUUGAGGUUCCUUCCUCUCAGAUGACCCUCGCUUGUGUUAAGUUGACGUGAAACCAGCCAGCAAUCCUGGCUCUCUGUGAUGUCUUUUAUUCUUCCUUUAUCACAUGGUCAAUUCUCAGAGAAUCAGUUCCCAGUCCCUUGAGCAGUAUUGCAGUAAACCACCUUUCCAGACCAAAUCACUCACCCAGGCGUGUAUGACCUAUAAGGUGUGCCCCUGAGGGGGUGGUCACUCAUUAAUUUCUCAGCCUCUUGGGGUGGAGAACCUCAGCUAGCCCAGGCAGCGUGCUUCCUCCUAUGCUUCCUCUCCCCUCUCUGCACUUGGCGUGAGAAGGGAAGUGCAUAUGUAAGGAUGUAUCUGCUGCUAGCUUCCUACCAGUUUGGUGCCAAGCAAAUGAGAAAGUCAACAUCCUGGUCACUCUAGCUUUCCUGUUCCAAUGUGAAUACAUUAAAAGACAGCAUUCCAGCUGUGCAAAUCACCAAGCCAUUGAAAUGUUUUUUUUUUUUUUUAACUUUAACCAUUAAAGAUUUAACUAGUCAAUAAAUCCAAGUAUGUGGGGGGUGGUUACCAAAUGUUUAUUACGUUGCUCUUGCUUUUAACUUAGCAGCACAUACCAUGCUUGCACUUCCAUGGGCAAGACCUUUCUUUACAGUUGAAAUUGACGAUGUCCCCACCAAACACAAGGAAGAAGUCUCUGUCUCCAGAAGGAUUCACUCGCCUUUUCUCAAAUCUCCUUGGAAGUUAAGAUGGCUUCUAUCAGUUUAAUAAACCAAUUCACUUGCUGGACAAACGGUCUAUAAUACCUUCUUGUUGCCACAGUUGAGCGUGACUGACGUAACCUAAAAGUCGACUUUCAGCAUGAGCAUCUUGCUGACACUUUUCCACAUUCAGAUUCUGUAAAGGCACAAAUGGAUAUAGCUUUGGUGAAGAAAAAUGUCAAUACCUUUUCUCUUAGUAUCUUUUACGUGAGUUGGGUAAUCAGAUUUUAGGCCUUGACCAGUUUGUUUUUCCUGAGACAGGGUUUCUCUGUGUAACAGUGGCUGUCCUGGACUCACUUUGUAGACCAGGCUGGCCUUGAACUCACAGACCUGCCCCAGCCUCAUGAGU